AACGCACCUUGCGCUCCCUGGUAUUCCGGGGAGCAUGCCUGUUUGAGUGUCAUUAAAUUCUCAACCUCUCCAGUUUUUACUAGCUGGUCUGGCUUGGAUGUGGGGGUUGCGGGCUUCUCAGAAGUCGGCUCUCCUUAAAUGAAUUAGCGAAACCUUUGUUGACCAUCCUAUGGUGUGAUAAUUAUCUACGCCACAGUGAUAUCAGCUUUAUUAUGGGGUUCUGCUUCUAACCGUCCUCUUGGGGACAACUCUUGACAUUUUGACCUCAAAUCAGGUAGGACUACCCGCUGAACUUAA
rnacentral:misc_RNA from 1 species